rnacentral:rRNA from 1 species
UACAGAGGUCCCAAGCGUUGUUCGGAUUCACUGGGCGUAAAGGGUGCGUAGGUGGCCGGUUAAGUCUGACGUGAAAUCUCCGAGCCUAACUCGGAAACUGUAUCGGAAACUAUCCGGCUCGAGGGUUGGAGGGGGGACUGGAAUACUUGGUGUAGCAGUGAAAUGCGUAGAUAUCAAGUGGAACACCAGUGGCGAAGGCGAGUCCCUGGACAACUCCUGACACUGAGGCACGAAAGCUAGGGGAGCAAACAGG